GUCAUGAAGCAGAUUCCUGGACUAGGAAAAGGAGAUCAAAAUGUUUCAAACAACCAUUGGCUACAAAAAUAACAUAUGUUCAAUUACACCAAAGAUAGAAUUACAACAUCCACCUGCUUCUCAAACUACACCAAAACAAGACAAUUAACUGAGUAUACUAUGAUGUGUCCUUCCCCUUCAUUUCUCGUUCAGUAGGUAGUUUUCCACGGUGGACGAUCAUGUUCACGUUCACAAGAUCAACAGUUCUUCUUCGUUAUUAAGCAACACUUGAGAUUCGAAAGUUCGAGACAUAUCGUCAACUUCUGUGUGCACCACUGGUUUAGUAGCAAUGUUUAACAUUCUAUAAAUAUAGGACAGUUUACUGGUAACUAAAAUUUCAGCUCAAAUUAAACAACAAAAUUCCAACCAAAAAUUCAUACCUUCCUGCCUAAUGACCCGGUUUUGGAGAAGAUGGACUUGAGCAAUCACAUUCAAAACAAGCAACGCAACCAACAGUGGCAUUUCCCCCACUUCGUGUUUUUGCCGCCCAAAGAAUAACUUUUCCGCCUCAAAGCUUUCUGUGGAAAUAUAUUUCUGUUUGUGACCGACAGUGCAGUUUGUACUUGGGUUGUCUAGCAUUAUUGCUAUUCUUAUGAUAGUUCACGUGCACCCAGUUAAAACCUUUUCAUCCUUUUCCUCUAAAACCAGAUUUAAUAAUGUUCUUUUGUUGUCAAUUAUUAACUUUUCUCAUCAUAUUUGUUCUCCAAAGAAUGUAUAUAUGGUUUAUGUGUUUAUCGAAUCAUCUCUUAAGACAAAGGAAAGUGAAACCAAGUAGGAUAAACGCAAGUGAAACCAAGUGAUACCUACGUAGGUUGACCGGACCUGUCAAGGGAUUGCCGGAGAUGGACAUCGGACUUUACUGUUGGAUCUGCAUGGCUGCACCACUGCCGGAGAUGGAGACCGGAUUUUAGGACAUGAUAUGCAAAGUCGUCCGAUAGUGGAAGUUGGGAAAAAUGGUUUUGGCAUCCUUGAUUUUUUUUCCCUACUUCACUACGCAGCAGCAGAGACACUGGGUUUUUGACGCCUAUUUACCGCAAAAUUUUCUAUUAUCGAAUCACAGCCGUCCACCCCAUUUUAAUACCUGC
rnacentral:lncRNA from 1 species